GCCCGUGGUCGAGAGCCACUUCUGGUCGGCGCCGACCAGCAGCGCGAGGUCCUUGGUCAUGAAGCCGGACUCGACCGUAUCGACGCAGACCUUCUCCAGCGUCUUGGCGAACUUCGCCAGUUCCUCGUUGUUGUCGAGCUUGGCGCGGUGGGCGAGGCCCUGCGUCCAAGCGAAGAUCGAGGCGAUCGAGUUGGUCGAGGUU
rnacentral:misc_RNA from 1 species